GCUGGAAGUAAGGAAGUAGGAAGCCCCAUUUUUAUUAGAGCACAUUGUGUUGGUGUUCUAUCUUUUGUGAAAUGUUGUGGUAGUUUUUACAAAAUGGGGGCACUCAAUCUGCAAGCAAAUGGGAUUCAGAAAAGGAUGAUCAUGACCUUUGUAAUGAUUGCAACCUUUAAGAACAAACACUUGGCGACAAGACAUCUCAGAACAUACAAUGUUUAAUCCUCCGUAUCCUGUUACCGAUUCCCAAGGGUUGUCAUCCAGCCUCAGACCCAAAGGAGCUACAGUUGAGACUUCGAGUCAGAUUUAUAUAUAUAAAACAAACCCUGAACCAGAGACACCUCCAGGGCUUACUACCUCUAGAAACGUCAAGGGAUUGCUUGAGAAAGCAUGGUAUGAAGGUGAUGCUGUGCCAUUGUAGUUUCCUAUUGCUGUAGGUACAAUAAAAUCCUCU